rnacentral:rRNA from 1 species
UACGUAGGGUCCGAGCGUUUAAUCGGAAUUACUGGGCGUAAAGCGUGCGCAGGCGGUUUUGUAAGCCAGAUGUGAAAUCCCCGAGCUUAACUUGGGAACUGCAUUUGGGACUGCAAGGCUGGAGUACGGCAGAGGGAGGUGGAAUUCCACGUGUAGCAGUGAAAUGCGUAGAGAUGUGGAGGAACACCGAUGGCGAAGGCAGCCUCCUGGGCUAGUACUGACGCUCAUGCACGAAAGCGUGGGGAGCAAACAGG